rnacentral:ncRNA from 1 species
UCAGACACACCGCCCGUCACACCAUGAGAGCUGGUAACACCCGAAGUCCGUGAGGUAACCCGCAAGGGAGCCAGCGGCCGAAGGUGGGAUUAGUGAUUGGGGUGAAGUCGUAACAAGGUAGCCGUAGGAGAACCUGCGGCUGGAUCACCUCCUUU